CCAAUAGCGUAUAUUAAAGUUGCUGCAGUUAAAAAGCUCGUAGUUGAAUUUCGGGACCAAUAUGUCGGUCGUGCCUCGGUACGUACUGGUAUUUUUGGUUUCUCACUUCUGACGAACCUUGAUGUCAUUAAUUUGGUGUCUUGGGGAAUCUGGACUGUUACUUUGAAAAAAUUAGAGUGUUUAUAGCAGGCUAACGCUUGAAUACAUUAGCAUGGAAUAAUGAUAUAGGACGUUCGAUCCUAUUUUGUUGGUUUCUAGGAUUGACGUAAUGAUUAAUAGGGAUAGUUGGGGGCAUUAGUAUUCAAUUGUCAGAGGUGAAAUUCUUGGAUUUAUUGAAGACUAACUACUGCGAAAGCAUUUGCCAAGGAUGUUUUCAUUAAUCAAGAACGAAAGUUAGGGGAUCGAAGACGAUCAGAUACCGUCGUAGCCUUAACCAUAAACUAUGCCGACUAGGGAUCGGAUGAUGUUAAUUUUUUAAUGACUCAUUCGGCGCCUUACG
rnacentral:rRNA from 1 species